rnacentral:rRNA from 1 species
AGUGAGCGCUGGCGGUAGGCCUAACACAUGCAAGUCGAACGGCAGCACAGUAAGAGCUUGCUCUUACGGGUGGCGAGUGGCGGACGGGUGAGGAAUACAUCGGAAUCUACUUUUUCGUGGGGGAUAACGUAGGGAAACUUACGCUAAUACCGCAUACGACCUACGGGUGAAAGCAGGGGAUCUUCGGACCUUGCGCGAUUGAAUGAGCCGAUGUCGGAUUAGCUAGUUGGCGGGGUAAAGGCCCACCAAGGCGACGAUCCGUAGCUGGUCUGAGAGGAUGAUCAGCCACACUGGAACUGAGACACGGUCCAGACUCCUACGGGAGGCAGCAGUGGGGAAUAUUGGACAAUGGGCGCAAGCCUGAUCCAGCCAUACCGCGUGGGUGAAGAAGGCCUUCGGGUUGUAAAGCCCUUUUGUUGGGAAAGAAAAGCAGCAGGUUAAUACCCCGCUGUUCCGACGGUACCCAAAGAAUAAGCACCGGCUAACUUCGUG